GGAGGGGUGGCCGAGUGGUUGAAGGCGGCGGUCUUGAAAACCGCAUCCCACCUUCGUGUGGGACGGGGGUUCGAAUCCCUCCCCCUCCGCCA
rnacentral:tRNA from 1 species